UCAUACAAGAACUAGGGUGAUGGUGCUUAUCGACAUGGCAUAUAUAAGUGCAUCACACAACCAGCAAGUUGAAGGUGAUCAAAGUAUAUUACAUUUGUUUUUAAACCACUCAUACAUAAGCAAGUCACACACCAACAUCACUAAGGUUCUAGCAAGCUAUGCAGCAAGGUUAUUUCGUAGCAACAUGUAUACAUGACCAUUUAUUAGUUAAGUGCUUGACCAACAUUAUAUAACACAUUUAUAAUAUUCUUAGGUAGAUCAAUUUAACUCUAAUAGUGAUAAGAGCUAACUAACAAACAUACAAGGCAAUGUCAAGUUAAAGCUAAUAACUUAAGCACAUACACCGAAUCUGGAC
rnacentral:lncRNA from 1 species